GCAUCGGUAGUGCAACGGUUCAGCACGCGCCCGCGGAUAGGGUGAAAUGUGGGUUCGAAUCCCAGCUGACGCA